AGUAGAGUAGGUCUUAUACGUAAAGUGUCAUCGGAUGGGGAGACUUCCGGUGAACGAAGGGUUACCGCGUUAUAUGACCGCUUCCGCUACU
rfam:Bryantella formatexigens DSM 14469 B_formatexigens-1.0.1_Cont9.1, whole genome shotgun sequence.